rnacentral:rRNA from 1 species
GUGACCUCAAAUCAGGUAGGAUUACCCGCUGAACUUAAGCAUAUCAAUAAGCGGAGGAAAAGAAACUAACAAGGAUUCCCCUAGUAACUGCGAGUGAAGCGGGAAAAGCUCAAAUUUAAAAUCUGGCAGUCUUUGGCUGUCCGAGUUGUAAUCUAGAGAAGUGCUAUCCCCGCUGGACCGUGUACAAGUCUCCUGGAAUGGAGCGUCAUAGAGGGUGAGAAUCCCGUCUUUGACACGGACUGCCAGGGCUUUGUGAUGUGCUCUCGAAGAGUCGAGUUGUUUGGGAAUGCAGCUCAAAAUGGGUGGUAAAUUCCAUCUAAAGCUAAAUAUUGGCGAGAGACCGAUAGCGAACAAGUACCGUGAGGGAAAGAUGAAAAGAACUUUGGAAAGAGAGUUAAACAGUACGUGAAAUUGCUGAAAGGGAAACGCUUGAAGUCAGUCGCGUCGUCCAGGGAUCAACCUUGCUUUUGCUUGGUGCACUUUCUGGUUGACGGGUCAGCAUCAAUUUUGACCAUUGGAAAAAGAUUAGGGGAAUGUGGCAUCUUAGGAUGUGUUAU